GACGAACGCUGGCGGCGUGCUUAACACAUGCAAGUCGAACGCUGAAGCUCAGCUUUUGUUGGGUGGAUGAGUGGCGAACGGGUGAGUAACACGUGAGUAACCUGCCCCCUUCUUUGGGAUAACGCCCGGAAACGGGUGCUAAUACUGGAUAUUCACUGGUCUUCGCAUGGGGGUUGGUGGAAAGGGUUUUUCUGGUGGGGGAUGGGCUCGCGGCCUAUCAGCUUGUUGGUGGGGUGAUGGCCUACCAAGGCUUUGACGGGUAGCCGGCCUGAGAGGGUGACCGGUCACAUUGGGACUGAGAUACGGCCCAGACUCCUACGGGAGGCAGCAGUGGGGAAUAUUGCACAAAGGGCGCAAGCCUGAUGCAGCGACGCCGCGUGAGGGAUGGAGGCCUUCGGGUUGUGAACCUCUUUCGCUCAUGGUCAAGCCGCAACAAUGGUUGUGGUGAGGGUAGUGGGUAAAGAAGCGCCGGCUAACUACGUG
rnacentral:rRNA from 1 species